CCAUGACACAACAAAAUUAGUAAGCCAUCAUGACAUGAAACACAGGAAACAGCACUUUUUUAGAAAAUAGAAUACAAGCUAGAUCUAAGCUAGGAAAUCAUGUCUAAGGUGGUAAAUAAUCCUAUACUUUAUGCAACCAGCGAGCUCACCUAGGCAUGGAUAUUGCUUAGUAUAAUGUUGACAGGCUAAACAAACAUGUCUAGACAUAGAGUAAAUGUUACGCUUAGUUAGUGUAAGUUAGUUAGUAGUGAGGACUAUCUAGACAAGUAGUUGAGAAAAAAAAAAAUAAACUGUAUCAACUGAUUAACUGUAACGCUAGAUAUAAUGCAGGAAUCUACUGCUAGUAAAAUUGAUUAAGAUGGGGCAAAAGACAGCCCACAAGGAGGCAGCCAGGUACUUGUAGCCUGAUCAUACAAUUCCUAAUUUGCAGGCUGCCAAUGGAGCUCUCUGCGCCAAGUGCUUUGAGGUAAAGGCUUGUGUCUCAGGAACAAUGAACGCAAACUAGUGCAUGGGUGCCACUUAUUCUUCAAGAGGCGGCAUUUGCCGUCUUCAAAGGCUGUAUGAGUCAGAGUUACAGCUCCUUGGUCCCUGUCCACAUUCUGUUCCCGGCUCCUCAGCGGCUGAAAGAUUAAUAGUUCAGAGCAUCUGCCAUGGAGGAAGGGGAUCUUGCUGACUGGGCAGGUCGUGUGGAGGCCUCACAGUCGGUUCGGUCAAGUAGGCAGGUAAGUUGUGUUAGAGCUGUAGAAGUGCUUGGACCAGACAGCUGCUUUGCCGCUAUGGUAGCCAGGAAUCUUGCAAAGAUUAGGUUGAGUCAGAGAUGCUGCAAUA